CUAUAUUGAAUUUAGCGCGUAAAUAGGUUAGGGAAUAAAACAGGUGGCGUUAGUGCUACAAAGAAAGCAGGAGUGAAAAGAUACAGAGAUUAAGAGAUAUAUGUAAGAAAAUUAAUCAAGAAACAACGGUGUGGAUAUUAGCAUUGAAUGUUGUUUCUUUGUUAUUACAGAGAAACAAUUCUACCUAUUAUCUACCCAUAACCUGCACAAUAAAUAAGACAUUAUAAAACAACAUUCUCGUUGGUAUUCACAACAGAAAGGAAAAAAGAAAAUAAGAAUAAAAGAUGAAGCAGUUGCAAUUUACUUUUACGAUUAAAGGGACAGAUGAUCAGAAAAAGAAUGUGCUCUGUAUAACCUCAAUCGGCACAUCGAAUGGCCACGUAUAUGCAAUUCCGGAUGAGUAUCAACUAGUUACACAACACAAAGAAAUUAUGGCACAACCGGUAUUCAAUAAGAUAAAAAAUUCGUUAACGAGAAGGCACCAAAUAAAGAAAGUAUGGAUCGAUUUAACAGAAGAAUUAGCGAACGUUUACUUAGACGAAGGAGGGAAUCCACACAUAAAGGGAUUGUUCCUAGAAGAUAUACUGGAGAAACCGGAGGAUAGGUCACAAACUUCAGAACAACCACUGAUGAAAAUGUUAGAAAAGUUGCUAGAAAAGAGUCAAAUACAGUCGGAAAGUACAGGAAAAA
rnacentral:lncRNA from 1 species